rnacentral:misc_RNA from 1 species
GGAAAGCUUGCCAUUUUCACGAUUGGGGCAUGGGCUGGUGCUGCACAUGGUGGUGUCGUUGCAGGUCUAGCAGCAUGCGGAGUAAUGAUGAACAUCGUCUCAACCGCAUCUGAUCUAAUGCAGGAUUUCAAGACUGGAUACAUGACACUAUCUUCGCCACGGUCGAUGUUCGUGAGCCAAGUGGUAGGCACUGCUAUGGGAUGCAUCAUAUCUCCCUGUGUAUUUUGGCUGUUCUACAAGGCAUUUGCUGACCUUGGACAGCCUGAAAGUGCUUAUCCAGCGCCUUAUGCAACGGUCUAUCGUAACAUGGCUCUUCUGGCGGUCGAGGGCUUCUCUAGUCUCCCAAAGAACUGUCUCUCCCUAUGCUAUGGGUUCUUUGCAGCAGCCAUUGUGAUAAAUUUGAUAAGAGACUUAUCAGGGAAGAAGGUAAGUCAAUAUAUUCCAAUACCUAUGGCAAUGGCGAUUCCGUUCUAUAUAGGCCCAUAUUUCGCCAUUGACAUGUGCCUUGGAAGCUUGAUAUUGUUUGUGUGGGAAAAGAUCAACAAGGCUAAGGCCGAGGCUUUCGCACCUGCUGUCGCGUCCGGUCUAAUAUGUGGAGAUGGAAUAUGGACAUUGCCUAGCUCGAUUCUUGCUCUGGCUGGAGUUAAGCCUCCUAUUUGCAUGAAGUUUCUAUCAAGGACUACAAAUGUUAAGGUUGAUAACUUCUUAGCAUCAUGAAGCUUUAGUUGACAAUCCAC